AGCGAACGCUGGCGGCAGGCUUAACACAUGCAAGUCGAGCGGGCAUCCUUGUGGUGUCAGCGGCAGACGGGUGAGUAACGCGUGGGAACGUGCCCUUCGGUUCGGAAUAACUCAGGGAAACUUGAGCUAAUACCGGAUACGUGCGAGAGCAGAAAGGUUUAUCUGCCGAAGGAUCGGCCCGCGUCUGAUUAGCUAGUUGGUGAGGUUAUGGCUCACCAAGGCGACGAUCAGUAGCUGGUCUGAGAGGAUGAUCAGCCACACUGGGACUGAGACACGGCCCAGACUCCUACGGGAGGCAGCAGUGGGGAAUAUUGGACAAUGGGGGCAACCCUAAUCCAGCCAUGCCGCGUGAGUGAUGACGGCCUUAGGGUUGUAAAGCUCUUUUCUCCGGGACGAUAAUGACGGUACCGGAGGAAUAAGCCCCGGCUAACUUCGUG
rnacentral:rRNA from 1 species